ensembl:lncRNA transcription initiation factor TFIID subunit 4-like
AAAAACCUGAGCGGAUCGGCAGACAGGAACAGCCGAGCCGGGCCAGCCUGCCGUUCGGACAAGGUGAGCGCCGGCCCCAGGCUGAGCAGAGGGCUGGGAGACCCGCGGCUGGCGGGGUUGUGCGGGCUGAGCCCCAGCAAGCUCAUGACAAAGUGAUCAGCCAUCAAACUCCCCCCUCCCUGCCCGGGGCUGCUUUCUUCUCUGUCUUCCAGGACCAGAAGAUCCUGCUGUCCAUCUACAACAUCAGCAUGUCCCUGCGGGACGUGGCGGCCGGCACGCUGCGUGGCCCCGAGGAGGUGGCGGUGUGGAAGGUGGCCAGGAACACGGAGGUCGUGCUUAGGGACUGCAGGAAAAUCUGCAAGGUGGGAGCCCCUGCCCCUUCCCAGGCGCCCCAGUGGCUCCCGGUUUCCCAGCCGGGCUGCGGGUAGAGCCUGCCCUGUUGCACGCGCUCUCCUGGCUGCCGCUUGGGAGCCUUCAGGCUCUUCUCCCCGCGGCGUCGCGGUGGGGKUGAAGGUCUGCGCCGGCUUUAUGGCGGGGGGGUGGCGAAGGCACACCCCGGUGAGCUUUACACCGCCCGGCCCUGGCCCUGGGGAGCGAAGUCCGGCGGUGCCAGCGCGGGACGGGCUGGUGGGUUCUUACCAGUUUGUCACCUGCCCUUGGGCCGCGAUGCCGCGGCCGGUGGGGACGCGGAGCCUCCCUGGGUGUCCGAGCCCAGCUGGGCGGCAGGAUGCUCACUUGCCGGGUGGGCUCCCCCCGGAUGCUCUCUGGGAAGAGCAGAGAAAGGUGCCAGAGCAAGAAACCGGGUCUCUCCCCAGGAGGCCGGUCUGCAAACGGGCUUGUGCUGCAUUCCUGGGACUCUGCCGGGGAAACCCCGGCCAGAAGCGUCGCCCAUGGGUGGCAGCAGCAAAUAACCCAUUAACGGGCAGGGGAGGCCCYGGGGCGGCAAAGUGCCACCUGCCAGGCUGCCGCCGGCUCUGGCCACGCUCAGGCCGUCUGGGAGGACGCUUGUCCCUUCCCGCCAUCGCCGAAGAAACGGACUUGGGUUUAAUUCCCGGAGGUCUCCUGGCCUGGGAUGGGGAUGCCUCCGGUCUGCAGAGUCACCCGGAGCCUGGCUUUGGGACAAGGCCUGGCCUCGGGGUGUCUGGGGCCACCGCAGGCUUGGGGGGGGGCUGGCUGGCUCUGCUGCAGACCCGAGCUGUCCGCGGAGCACGUCCUCGCCGUAGCCGCGGGUUUGCAGGGCAGCGAUGUCCCGGGCACGUCCUCGCCCGCGACUUGGUGCCGACUCAGUGGCUUUUGUCCCCACUGCUAACGCCUGUGCCGUGGGGGGGUUGUUCCCGCUUCCUUGGCGUGCCCCCAGCAGAGCCUGCCGCCAGCCCCGGCGCAGCCCCGGCGCGGAGGGCCCGGCCGCCGCAGGAAGCAGCUGAAGGAGAUCGCGCGGAAGGCGGAGAGGCUGUCGACGUGCUGGGAGAAGCUCUACGCGCUCCGCUCCCCCGGCCGGGACUCCUAGGUCCUGCCUCCGCGGCGGCACGGCGGCGCCCGUCACCUCGCCCUCCCUGGCAGGUGUCUUGUUCCCAAAUCUGGAGCAAAUUCAACUCCGCAGUCAGCUGAGUCGAUAUCGGCGGGUGCCAGAGUUGAAUUCGUCCUUUCGUUUCAAGUGAUGCCCUGGGAACCGGCCCUGGCGCAGGUGCUGGAUGCCGGCGGGCUCCUUCCCUGUAGGAUGGCUGCACAAGCUGGCUGGAAAACCAGAAACUGGGGGAAGAGGAGGGGGUAGUGCUGGAAAAAGGAAGAGACAUUAAUUUCCGUGAUGCUCCUGUCCCUGGCUAUGCAUCGCCCGCCACUUUCUUGGGGACAACGGUCGCUUUUCUGAGCAUGAGGAAGAGGAUUUGGGUCACGGGCCUGAGAUUCCUGUUGGAACUGGACUGCUGAAUAUCUGCAAGUCUCUGAUGGUGGCCAGGGUGUGUGCACGGACAAAUGUCCUUCUUGCAUGACCGUGGCCCUGAGAUGCGCGGAGCAGCGUAACCCCAGAGGUCGGGGGUGACCUGGAUGCAGGACUGUGGGCACUGGGGAAGCAAACAGGAGCCGCUGGCCACUGAGGGCAAAUAAGCAGCAAAAAGGGGGGAAUGGUGGCCAAACCUCUGUGUGCCCMCAAGGGCUUGAACCUGGUGGAGAUGGGCAGCAUCUCCCGGCCAGCGUGUGAGUGCGGCGGGACCUGGCUCCUCGGAGGCAUGGGCACCCUGGCACCCYGAGGGAGGCUUGGUGAGCGGAGGACCCCUCCAUCCUUGCGUGCGCCCCUGCUGCCCUCGGGUGGGCGAUAGCCCCCGAGAAGAAAAUAAAACCUCUCCUUCCCCUGGAGGCCUCUGCCUG